ACUCAUACGGGAGGCAGCAGUGGGGAAUUUUGCACAAUGGGGGAAACCAAAAACAGCAACUCCGCAGGAAGAUGAACACCCUCGGAAGUAAUCUCCAAUCGACCCUGACGAUAUGACG
rnacentral:rRNA from 1 species